AUUGAACGCUGGCGGAAUGCUUUACACAUGCAAGUCGAACGGCAGCACGGGUGCUCGCACCUGGUGGCGAGUGGCGAACGGGUGAGUAAUACAUCGGAACGUACCCAGUCGUGGGGGAUAACGUAGCGAAAGUUACGCUAAUACCGCAUACGUCCUGAGGGAGAAAGCGGGGGACCGUAAGGCCUCGCGCGAUUGGAGCGGCCGAUGGCGGAUUAGCUAGUUGGUGGGGUAAAGGCCUACCAAGGCGACGAUCCGUAGCGGGGCUGAGAGGACGGCCCGCCACACUGGAACUGAGACACGGUCCAGACUCCUACGGGAGGCAGCAGUGGGGAAUUUUGGACAAUGGGCGAAAGCCUGAUCCAGCCAUUCCGCGUGAGUGAAGAAGGCCUUCGGGUUGUAAAGCUCUUUCGGCAGGGAAGAAACGGCUUGGGAUAAUACCCCGGGCUAAUGACGGUACCUGAAGAAGAAGCACCGGCUAACUACGUGCCAGCCGCCGCGGUAA
rnacentral:rRNA from 1 species